rnacentral:rRNA from 1 species
GCCGUAAACGAUGUCUACUUGGAGGUUGUGCCCUUGAGGCGUGGCUUCCGGAGCUAACGCGUUAAGUAGACCGCCUGGGGAGUACGGCCGCAAGGUUAAAACUCAAAUGAAUUGACGGGGGCCCGCACAAGCGGUGGAGCAUGUGGUUUAAUUCGAUGCAACGCGAAGAACCUUACCUGGUCUUGACAUCCACGGAAGUUUUCAGAGAUGAGAAUGUGCCUUCGGGAACCGUGAGACAGGUGCUGCAUGGCUGUCGUCAGCUCGUGUUGUGAAAUGUUGGGUUAAGUCCCGCAACGAGCGCAACCCUUAUCCUUUGUUGCCAGCGAUUAGGUCGGGAACUCAAAGGAGACUGCCAGUGAUAAACUGGAGGAAGGUGGGGAUGACGUCAAGUCAUCAUGGCCCUUACGACCAGGGCUACACACGUGCUACAAUGGCGCAUACAAAGAGAAGCGACCUCGCGAGAGCAAGCGGACCUCAUAAAGUGCGUCGUAGUCCGGAUUGGAGUCUGCAACUCGACUCCAUGAAGUCGGAAUCGCUAGUAAUCGUGGAUCAGAAUGCCACGGUGAAUACGUUCCCGGGCCUUGUACACACCGCCCGUCACACCAUGGGAGUGGGUUGCAAAAGAAGUAGGUAGCUUAACCUUCGGGAGGGCGCUUACCACUUUGUGAUUCAUGACUGGGGUGAAGUCGUAACAAGGUAACCGUAGGGGAACCUGC